rnacentral:rRNA from 1 species
UACGUAGGGUGCGAGCGUUGUCCGGAAUUAUUGGGCGUAAAGGGCUCGUAGGCGGUCUGUUGCGUCAGGAGUGAAAACUCGGGGCUUAACCCCGAGCCUGCUUCUGAUACGGGCAGACUAGAGGUAUGCAGGGGAGAACGGAAUUCCUGGUGUAGCGGUGAAAUGCGCAGAUAUCAGGAGGAACACCGGUGGCGAAGGCGGUUCUCUGGUCCGGACCUGACGCUGAGGCGCGAAAGCCAGGGGAGCAAACGGG